UACAGAGGGGGCCAGCGUUAUUCGGAAUUACUGGGCGUAAAGGGCUCGUAGGCGGCCAACUAAGUCAGACGUGAAAUCCCUCGGCUUAACCGGGGAACUGCAUCUGAUACUGGAUGGCUUGAGUUCGGGAGAGGGAUGUGGAAUUCCAGGUGUAGCGGUGAAAUGCGUAGAUAUCUGGAGGAACACCGGUGGCGAAGGCGGCAUCCUGGACCGACACUGACGCUGAGGAGCGAAAGCCAGGGGAGCAAACGGG
rnacentral:rRNA from 1 species